AGUGAACGCUGGCGGUAGGCCUAACACAUGCAAGUCGAACGGCAGCACAGUAAGAGCUUGCUCUUACGGGUGGCGAGUGGCGGACGGGUGAGGAAUACAUCGGAAUCUACUUUUUCGUGGGGGAUAACGUAGGGAAACUUACGCUAAUACCGCAUACGACCUACGGGUGAAAGCAGGGGAUCUUCGGACCUUGCGCGAUUGAAUGAGCCGAUGUCGGAUUAGCUAGUUGGCGGGGUAAAGGCCCACCAAGGCGACGAUCCGUAGCUGGUCUGAGAGGAUGAUCAGCCACACUGGAGCUGAGACACGGUCCAGACUCCUACGGGAGGCAGCAGUGGGGAAUAUUGGACAAUGGGCGCAAGCCUGAUCCAGCCAUACCGCGUGGGUGAAGAAGGCCUUCGGGUUGUAAAGCCCUUUUGUUGGGGAAGAAAAGCAGCAGGUUAAUACCCCGCUGUUCUGACGGUACCCAAAGAAUAAGCACCGGCUAACUUCGUG
rnacentral:rRNA from 1 species